CACGUAGGGGACGAGCGUUGUCCGGAUUCAUUGGGCGUAAAGCGCGCGUAGGCGGCUCGGAAAGUCGGGCGUGAAAUGCCGGGGCUCAACCCCGGGACUGCGUCCGAUACUUCCGAGCUGGAGGUAGGUAGGGGAGAUCGGAAUUCCUGGUGUAGCGGUGAAAUGCGCAGAUAUCAGGAGGAACACCUAUGGCGAAGGCAGCUCGCUGGGACGGUAUUGACGCUGAGACGCGAAAGCGUGGGGAGCGAACAGG
rnacentral:rRNA from 1 species